UAACCUGCCCAAGAGAUCGGGAUAACACCUGGAAACAGAUGCUAAUACCGGAUAACAACAGAUGAUGCCUAUCAACUGUUUAAAAGAUGGUUCUGCUAUCACUCUUGGAUGGACCUGCGGUGCAUUAGCUAGUUGGUAGGGUAACGGCCUACAAAGGCGAUGAUGCAUAGCCGAGUUGAGAGACUGAUCGGCCACAUUGGGACUGAGACACGGCCCAAACUCCUACGGGAGGCAGCAGAC
rnacentral:rRNA from 1 species